rfam:Ipomoea nil DNA, scaffold: scaffold0209, cultivar: Tokyo-kokei standard.
UAGGUUGUCGUCCAGCGGUUGGGAUAUCUGGCUUUCAACCAGGAGACCUGGGUUCGAUUUCCGGCAACGGAA